rnacentral:rRNA from 1 species
UACGACUACAUAUCAGGCAUAUCAAUAAGCGGAGGAAAAGAAACUAACAAGGAUUCCCUUAGUAACGGCGAGUGAAGCGGGAAGAGCUCAAAUUUGAAAUCUUCAAGGUUCUACCUUGACGAAUUGUAGUUUAAAGAAGUGUUUUCUGUUAGAUGGAGUAGCAAAAGUUCUCUGGAAUAGGACAUCAUAGAGGGUGAGAAUCCCGUAUUUGGUUAUUCUUUCUAGCUUUGUGAUACACUUUCAAAGAGUCGGAUUGUUUGGGAAUGCAGUCCAAAAUGGGUGGUAAAUUUCAUCUAAAGCUAAAUAUUGGCGAGAGACCGAUAGCGAACAAGUACCGUGAGGGAAAGAUGAAAGGAACUUUGAAAAGAGAGUUAAACAGUACGUGAAAUUGUCAAAAGGGAAGCGUUUGACACCAGUGUUGUUUUUCCGAAAAUCAAUUAAGAAGUGGCUUGAUUUUGUGUUGUAUUGACCUUAUCAGCUUUCUUCACUCUUUUUCGAGUCUUUCUUAAUGCACUUUUCGGUUAACAAGUCAACAUCAAUUUCUUUUGUUGUAAAAGGGUCAUUUGGAAGGUGGCUUUCUUUUCGGAGAAAGUGUUUAUAGCCUUAUACCUCUACAAUCGGAGAGAUUGAGGUCUGCAGCGUAGAUCCUUCGGGGCUAGAUACACUUGUGCUAAGUUAUAGCUUUUCAUAGACAACUUGUUGACUAUGUUUAGUCAUGUAGCUUACCCGCUUGUGCUAUUUUACCUACGCUUAGGAUGUUGAUCUACAGAGCGAGAGU